rnacentral:rRNA from 1 species
AAAAUACGACUUCGGCCUAUCUGGCUUCGCAUCGAUGAAGAACGUAGCGACACGAUACUUGGUGGAAUUCAGAACCCGUGAACCAUCGAGUCUUUCGAACCAAGUUGCGCCCGAACGUUAGGCCGAGGGCACGUCUGCCUGGGCGUCA